UGGGUAACCUGCCUCAUACAGGGGAGUAACAGUUAGAAAUGACUGCUAAUACCGCAUAAGCACACAGUACCGCAUGGUACAGUGUGAAAAACUCCGGUGGUAUGAGAUGGACCUGCGUCUGAUUAGCUAGUUGGCGGGUAACGGCCCACCAAGGCGACGAUCAGUAGCCGACCUGAGAGGGUGACCGGCCACAUUGGGACUGAGACACGGCCCAAACUCCUACGGGAGGCAGCAUG
rnacentral:rRNA from 1 species